rnacentral:rRNA from 1 species
ACGGACUCGUAUACUCAACACUGUGCAUCCGGAAGUGGAAUGUAAGGAGAGUAAGCAGAACUCAAAAGAGUCUAUGAAUGGAUGUAGAGAGUUGAGUGCCGGAUAGUGGCGGACGGGUGAGUAACGCGUGGGCAAUCUGCCCAUCAGUGGGGAAUAACACUGGGAAACUGGUGCUAAUACCGCAUAAGCUGGAGGAGCCGCAUGGUUCUUUCGGGAAAGGUGGCCUCUGAAGAUGCUAUCGCUGAUGGAUGAGCCCGCGUCUGAUUAGCUAGUUGGUGGGGUAAAGGCCUACCAAGGCGACGAUCAGUAGCCGGCCUGAGAGGGUGUACGGCCACACUGGAACUGAGACACGGUCCAGACUCCUACGGGAGGCAGCAGUGGGGAAUAUUGCGCAAUGGGGGAAACCCUGACGCAGCGACGCCGCGUGAGCGACGAAGGCCUUCGGGUCGUAAAGCUCUGUUCUAAGGGACGAAGGGCCUGCUUGUAAAGAAUGAGUGGGUGUGACGGUACCUUAGGAGAAAGCCCCGGCUAACUACGUGCCAGCAGCCGCGGUAAUACGUAGGGGGCGAG